rnacentral:rRNA from 1 species
AUUGAACGCUGGCGGCAGGCCUAACACAUGCAAGUCGAGCGAGCGGCGGACGGGUGAGUAAUGUCUGGGAAACUGCCUGAUGGAGGGGGAUAACUACUGGAAACGGUAGCUAAUACCGCAUACCAUCAGAUGUGCCCAGAUGGGAUUAGCUAGUAGGUGGGGUAACGGCGCACCUAGGCGACGAUCCCUAGCUGGUCUGAGAGGAUGACCAGCCACACGGGAACGGAGACACGGCCCAGACUCCUACGGGAGGCAGCAGUGGGGAAUAGUGCACAAGGGGCGCAAGCCUGAUGCAGCCAUGCCGCGUGUGGGAAUAAGGCCUGCGGGUUGUAAAGCACUUUCAGCGGGGAGGCUGUACCCGCAGAAGAAGCACCGGCUAACUCCGUGCCAGCAGCCGCGGUAAUUC